rnacentral:misc_RNA from 1 species
GAUUACAACUGAAGAGAGCAACUCUUUAUAUAGGCGAGGAGGCUCUUUAACAUUACAGACAACCGGUUAGAAACUGGCUACCGACACUCUUAAAGCAACAUAAAGGAAAGCAAAAUAAAGACAGACACAUUAUUACAUUAUUGACUAACAAACUUUAACUUUUAUCAUGGAGUGGUGGACAGAUUGAGGUUGUCAAAGUCGAAGUCAUCAGAGUCGAUUUCAAAAAAAGUCCUUUGGCCACUGUCUGUGUAUAGGAGAUAGUGGGUUAGCACUUUGAAUGGCAUCUCGUGACUCUGUGUCCAUUGGAUCCUGGGAAUCCUGCCACAUGGGAUGGGUCCAGUCAAUAGGCUCAUCAGUGAGAGAUUGGAUGGGACCAAGUGAUGUACAAUUCACAUGGGGAGGUACCAGACAAUAAUAGCUGUUGAUUUCACAAAGAUAUUCAGCUAGUUGUUUUCUCAAGGGUCCAUGGCCUCCUUGUCAAUAAUUGAUCCCACGUAAGUCCUCCACUCGUAUUCAGUAUUCUGGGUCCAGAGGAGUCCAUCGGGCCUUCUAGAGAAA